CGGAGACCGAAGCCGGCAGAGGAACCGGCGACGAGGAGGGGGAAAGGGGAACCGGGGGGGGACCGGGGAGGCACCGGGGACCCCCCUGGCGAUGGCGGCGGCGGCUGCUGGGCGCCAGGAGCGCGGUCGCUGCGCGCGCAGCCGGCGGGGCGCUCGCCCGGCGCCCGCUUCCGCGGCCGAGGCCCCGCGGGCGGUGGGAGCGGCCCCGCGGGCGGGGCGCGGCCUCGGAGCCCCGCUCCCGGAGCCGCCCUCACUCGGGCAGAGCCGGGAGAGAGCCGGGAGCCGAGCUCGAGCCGCUGUGGGCGCUGUUAGGGCCGCGUUUCGCCCCGCAGCGGCUCCUCAGCGCGCUGUUGAGCCCCGUGCUAGGGCCUGCGUGGAGCCGCCGGGCCAUGGCGCAGCCCCGGGGCGGGCAGGAUGAGGAGGAAGAGGAGGAGGAGGAGGAGGAAGAGGAGGAGGAGGAAGGGUGGUGGGGGCCGCAGCCGGGCCCUGAGGCCGCUCCGCCCGCCCCGACAGGCCACAGCAAGCCGGUGCCAGCCAGAAACGCAGCGGGCAGAGUAAUCGUGCACGUGGACUUGGACUGCUUUUAUGCCCAAGUAGAAAUGGUCCGUAAUCCCGAGCUAAGAGACAAGCCUCUAGGUGUGCAGCAGAAAUCCUUAGUAGUAACCUCAAACUAUGAAGCCAGAAAACUCGGAGUUAAGAAACUGAUGUCUGUGAAAGAUGCUAAAGAGAAGUGUCCUCAGCUGGUACUGGUUAAUGGAGAAGAUCUAACUCCAUACAGGGAAAUGUCAUACAAGGUUACAGGAUUGUUGGAAGAAUUUUGUCCUCUAGUGGAAAGGCUCGGGUUUGACGAAAAUUUUGUAGAUAUCUCAGAGAUUGUAGAAAAAAGGCUAACCCAGCUACAACAAAGUGGAUGUUCCAGAGUGUGUGUGUCUGGCCACGUGUACAACAACCAAGCUAUCGAUUUACGUGAUACAAUGCACGUAAGGCUGGUUAUUGGAUCUCAGAUCGCAGAGGAGUUCAGGCAAGCCAUGCACGCUCGUCUCGGCCUCACAGGCUGUGCAGGAGUGGCCUGUAACAAGUUGCUGUCUAAGCUGGUAUCUGGGACCUUUAAACCAAACCAACAAACACUUCUGCUGCCUGAAAGCUGUCAAGAUCUGAUGCGCAGCCUUGAUCACAUCCAAAAAGUGCCUGGCAUUGGCUACAAAACUGCCAAACGUCUCGAAACACUGGGCGUGAGGAGUGUGUGUGAUCUCCAAACAUUUCCAUCCCCCGUGUUAGAGAAGGAACUUGGGGCUUCUGUUGCUCAGCGCAUCCAAAAACUCAGCUACGGAGAAGACGACUCCCCCGUGACUCCAUCAGGCCGCCCUCAGUCCUUUAGCGAUGAAGAUUCCUUUAAAAAAUGUUCCUCAGAAGCGGAAGUGAAAGAGAAAAUGGAAGAACUGCUUCGUAGCCUCUUAGACAGGGUAUCCAAAGACGGAAGACAGCCGCACACCGUGAGGUUGACUAUCCGCCACUUCUCUGCGACCGAUAGGUGGUUCAAUCGGGAAAGCCGUCAGUGCGCUCUUCCACCUCAUCUUGUUCAGAAAUUUGGAAAAGAAAGCAGCAACAUUAUAUCUCCACUGAUUGAUAUACUCCUGAAACUCUUUCGAAAGAUGGUAAAUGUAAACUUACCAUUUCAUCUUACCCUCUUGAACGUUUGCUUCUCUAAUCUCAAAGAUGUUCCUAGCAGCAAGAAAGGAUCGAUAGGUUUUUAUCUCAAGCAGAUGUCACCACCAACGUCAGGCUCUUGUAAAAGUGUCCAGGAGAUGGAAGACGGCUCACAAGGUGAAGGAAGUGCUUCUUGGAACCAGAACUGGAACAGAACUGGCACUACAAAAGCGAAGAGACCUUCAGAGGAAAAGGAAAGCGAUACAAAGAAAGCAAGAAUUCCUGCCUUCCCCUGUCAUUUGUCUCCUGGUAUUGACCAGGCAGUCUUCAGGGAACUUCCAGAGGAUAUUAAAAAGGAAAUCAUGUCUGAAAAAGCAGGAGAAGUGAUCUCUGCUGAGGAUGUUUUGGGUCAGACACCGGUAUGUUUCGCAGAGGAGGUACAGAGCUCCUCCCCGAAUUCUAAGGGUGAUGAGAACUCUGCAGGGUACAGUGCACACCUCACAUCAGCUCGUGAAUCAGCAUCAGCUUGGACACACAGCUCCAGCACCAGUUUUUCUGCUGAGUAUCCUAAAAGUGUGUUAACAGGCAUGGAAGAAAACCCUCCUGACUCUCAUAGCUUCUGGGAUUUAUCAGUUGAAGCUGGUGCCAGCCAAACUGCUCCACGUGUCCCUGCCUCGGAUAAAGAUGAGCAGGAUUCUGAAAUCACUUCCGAGGAUAAAAACAACAGCAGGAAAGUGGGAAUUGUACUUCCUCCUAGUGUCGAUCCGAAGACUUUUUAUGAACUACCCAGAGAUGUGCAGGAAGAACUCCUAGCCGAAUGGAAGAAUCGGGAACCUGUGUCCAAAACCUGUAUAGAAAAAACCCCAGAAAGGCCUAAAACAAAUAGAGGAAAAAAGAACGCAGCAGUUGAGUUCCUCACAGUCUAACAGUUUGCUGAGGUAUUUUAAACCACGGUGAAACAUUUUUCAUAACAGUAACGCUGUAGGAUUCAGCACUGGAAGGCACUUUAGGUUAGUUACUGUGAAGAUUAAAAAUGUAUUUUGACAUAAAACCUGCUGCUGACUGCUUAAGCAGUAAUUAGUCUUAUUUUUCUUCUCUGUUCAUUUAUACGAUUAAUCUCAAAUUGUCCUCAAAAAUUACUUUUAAGCUAACUUAUUUUAAUAUUCACUAUCAAUACCUUAACACGCUGACCAGAGGAAGAAAUUUUGAAUUUAAUUUCUCAGUGAUUUAUAUUAUGCACGCUAUUAAUUUUUUUCUAACAACUCAGGAGGAGACCAAGUAGUGAAGAUGAAAGCCAUGUUCGCUCUCUUCUUUUAAUUUGCACCGCUGCUUCUGUGAUUUGUAAAAGAAAUUGCUCUUGUCCUAGCUGCCACCCUUUCCUGCCAUUUAAGCUUAUCUAGAAGUACUGGAAAAUCUACAGGAGCAAUGGGAAAUGCUACUUCCAAAGAAACCAGCUCAUUCCCGGACUUCAGGCAGCACACAAAAACUCACGGUGGGUUUUGGAGCUCAGGAUUCAGAAGACGACAGACAAUCUGAGGCAGGAGGGCAACAGAGACAGUGAAAGGACUAGAGGGCAUGUGAGGAGGAGUUGGGAGGAGCAGCUGAGGUGAUCUCAUCCCCAGCCACAGCUUCCUUGUGAGCGGGGAGCAGAGAGGGUGGUGCUGAGCUCUCCGGUGACCGCAAGGAAACAGCUGAAAGCUGCACCAGGGGAAAUCCAGACUGGACUUCCAGAUCAGGAAACAGUUCCUCGCUGAGAGGGUGCUCAGGUGCUCAACACCCUUAGCUAUAUGCUAAAUGGUUUAACUCUGUGCAGAGUCAGAAGGUGGACUGGAUGAUCCUCGUGGGUCUAUUCCAGCUCAGGAUGUUCUAUAAAGGAUAGUUUGUGUUAAAGAAACAGUUUUGGAACAAACCAGAGGAAACUGUUACCAGUAAGACCACAUGCAAGGAGUAUAUAUCCUCUGAUUAGACUGCAGAACCGAUCCUAAAGAAAUUCACGAGGUUUUCCGAAAUAAACAUGCAGUAAUUACACAGAACUCACAGUUAGUUGUAAGGAUGCCACCAGGAUAAGCUUUGACAUGCAGCAGGUCGACAAAAUCUCGCGAGGAAAUCAGGCCCAUGCCAUAGCUGUGCGUUACGCUGUGGUAUAUACCAGUGUCCUACAAGUGAGUACACGGAUUUUUUUGUGUAUUAGUAUGUAAAAAGCUAAGCUUUAUUUGAUGGACAAGCAGUAAAAUUGCUGCGUGAGAAACUCAGAACAUGCACGUUUAGUAUCUGGAGCUAGAAUACCUAGUACAGCAUCACUUACACCUUCAUUCUGUCCUUGUCUCGUGUGCCCACAUGAGCGCAGCACCCAGUCAAAUCCAAGAAACGUCUUGUGAUAAUUUCCAUAUUAUUAAGGCUUUGAUUUGCAGAUUCCCUGGUGUGAUUUCAUUCAACCUUCCUCUAGCUGCAUGUAAGCAACUGUAACCUACCUUUUAAAACCCCCAUUUUACACCCCUUCCCAAAUCUGUGUGCUAUCUGAGAAGCAUGCUAGCUUGUACAGUGGCCAGAAGAGGUUGUUUUGUUUUUUUUUUUUUAGUUGCUUUUUUGUUUUGGUUCUUUUAAAUUUGUGUAAACCAUGCUCAGAUCGAAACUUUCCCUAAAUUUUGUUGUGAUUCUGUCUCACCCUGCUCUUUAGAGACUUCGAUGUUUUCCAUCCGCUUAAUUCUUGGCCUUUUAUUUCACAACAAAUAUUUAAAUCCGAAGGGGAGGGAUGUUUCAUAUCCAUUUCACAUAAGCAGCAGGUUUAGAAAAAGUUCUGACCACCUCAGAAUGAAUUUCAUAUGCAGAGCUUUCUUCAUCCCAAGAGAGAUCGUUUUAGUCACCACAAUUCAGGCAAAAAUAGUUAAAAACUGUAUUUUAGACAAUUGCAUUACCUGGUCAAUGCUUUCUAACAGACUGUAAGAUUUUAGUGCUUUGUCCCAUCUGUUUCGAUAUUCAGGAAGAUACAUAAAAGGGAUAAUUUUACUAGGGACUUCCUCAAUUAUCCCUUCUCCACGGUAUCUACAUUUUGUAAAAACAAACAAAAACAAAACAAAAACAGAUUUUUAAAUUCACAUUUAUUAGGAAAAUAAAUUACACAGUAAUAAACAGCUAGAAGGUGGGAACACCAGCCUAUAAUGAGGGGAAAGACAACAAACGUGAUUGCACUCGAUGGCUUAAAAUGCAAGCAGUAAUAAAAAUAAUGACUUUGUGGCUCAUUUUUGAGACCAUCACAUUCUUAAUGUCACACAUCUUAAAUGAAUCAUUUGCUGUCAGCUAUUAGAUAAAAAUGUUAAUUUAAAUGUGUGUAAUUUAUCUCUUAAUUUAUAUUUUUCUACGUGAAUACUUUCAAACCUUUUUGAUACUGCAAAUCUUACUACUUAUGAACCAGUACGCUGGUGUUUCUCCAGCUUUUGUUCCUAAUACUCUGGAAAAUCCAAGGGAAAGUUCAGAGAGGGAAGAGCAGCCUCCUACAAGGAAAUAGGAAACUCCACUAAUGCUGGGAAACGCUCAGUAGCACAGCACAGGCAGUUCACACACCUUGUUUCUGGGAAACUGAAUCACUGCGCUAAUCACUUACAGACAGCAAUCGAACACAAAGGUUAAGGAUGCUGCACAAACGAGCUGAAAGGAUUCUGCUCACAAAGAGGUUAAGAAACGUGAUAUCAGAUUUGCAGCCCCUGACAAUACAGGACUGGAAAAGAAAAAGAGCAAACAGCUAUUUCAUCACCACUUGGUGAAGUGGCAGCGUGGGUGUGAGGGACUGCUGCAGGAACUUGCCUCUCUGCUACCUACAACAGGUCUGAGGGUGAUGGAAAACAUUUUAAUGUCUGCUCAAAAACAGGGAACGUAAACCAUGGCAGGGCCAGUUAAAAUCGUAUUAAUAUUUGAAUACACCCUUUAUUUCCGUAGCUGCCAGGGAUUUAUGUUUACCAGCAUCCUAAGCAACUCUCACCUGCAAGAAUCUGUGUUUUCUCUACCAGCUUUGAUGCUGCUUUCUCUCAGCAAGUAAAGCAAACUGUUCCUACUCCUGCCACUUAGAAAAGGAACUGGCGUUUGUGAUACGUGGUUAAUAAAUGUGGAAUGUCACACUGGAAAGGGGAGCAGCUAUAUUUUUGCUUCCAAAAUCAGCUGGUAUUCCUUCUCCUUCCUAAAAGAUGCCAGGGAUCGAUGCAGCUUGUUAACGUGACAAAGAUAUUUGCUUCUCCUGACUGCCUACGUGCCUGAUGGGGACUGCAGGAUGCCUUUUUCACCCAAAAGACACAAGUCAGGCGCAUCCUUACGCGUUCCCAAGCUACCAUAUUCUCAGUCCUUCACACCCAGCUGCACUGGAAUAAGAUCUGAAACACGAGAACAAUGCCACAUCCGCGCUAUUCAAAUUCUUAUUAAGAUAAUAGUACUCUUAACAUAUUCUAAUGGCAUAUUACUUUCCAUUAUAAUGCUAUCAUGUAAUUCUUUUGUAAUAUCAUUAAUACAGCGUCGCGUUCUCUAGUGAAUACCUUCCGUGCUUCAGAAGAAAUCAGAAAACCAAGCACGAUUUUUGGAUUUAGAGUGCCACUCAUCAGAAACAUCUCAUCAUACUGAGAAUCUACAAAUUUCAAUAAUCAGAUGCGUAUUGUCUCUGCUGCUUCUUUGUCUAGACUGACAUUUAAUAUAAUUUAAUACCCAUUAGGCAUUAAAAAAAUAAAACAGCUAAGGACACACCGUAAGUGUCCUUUUACUCCCCUUUCGCAUGCUUCUCUUCAGUGAGAUUUCUUUUCUCCCUGUUUCAGUGAUCUGUCUCAGCCACCAGUUGAGUGCCACAGCCAGCAUAAAUGAGGACUGCAGAGCUUGGAGAGGGGUAAGGAAGCAGAAAGGAUGAACGUAAAAAAGAACAGUCAGUGUCAGCAAGUUGUAUCAUCAGGUUACUACUCCACCUCCCCUAAUUCCACCCUCUGGGCAAAAUCCAGCUCAACAACAGCACAGAAUUCAUAGCUCAAAAGAAGAGUGGACAGAUGCUGCUGCAGCUUCAGAGACUAAAAGAUUCUCUUCUUCCCACUACAGCAAAUUCAGUUUCAAGUGCCAGGAAGAAAAAGGCACGGGUAAAGUAGAGCGAGAGCUUCAGUGUGUUUACACGUGUAAGUAUCGGUCAUUUCGCAGGUGUGAAGAUGUGAAAAGGGAACUCCUGUUGAUAGCUGUAAUGGCACGAACAGGAUAUUCCACCAGGAACAGCUUCCAACUUCACGUUAAUAGGUACCUACUUACUCCAUAUUAAUAACUUACAUAGAAUAUUUAAUUUUCAUAGCACAUUUCUAAUUGUUUGGGAAAUGCAUCUCUCCUAUUCCAGAACUACUGCUGGCUCAGGGCAACUAUACUGCAAAAUCUCUGCAGUUAACAAGACCAAACACAUCCCCGAGGGACAGCACACGAUUACUUUUUCCGUUUAGAUCUUGGGUGUCACCGCUCGGGACAGAUGUUGGCGUUCGUUACAACGACAAACAAAAUGCAAAUACUUACAUAUUUCCCGCAUACUCUUUGGAAGGCUUGGAAGAAACUGUAACAUUUUUCUCAAAAUGAGAAAAAGAAAAUAAAAAGUUAGUGUGCUACCUUUCA